rnacentral:rRNA from 1 species
UACAGAGGGGGCAAGCGUUAUUCGGAAUUAUUGGGCGUAAAGGGCGCGUAGGCGGCCUGGCAAGUGACGGGUGAAAGCCCUCGGCUCAACCGAGGAACUGCCUGUCAUACUGCCGGGCUUGAGUCCGGGAGAGGUGAGUGGAAUUCCCAGUGUAGCGGUGAAAUGCGUAGAUAUUGGGAGGAACACCAGUGGCGAAGGCGGCUCACUGGACCGGAACUGACGCUGAGACGCGAAAGCGUGGGGAGCGAACAGG